rnacentral:rRNA from 1 species
UACGUAGGGUCCGAGCGUUGUCCGGAAUUAUUGGGCGUAAAGAGCUCGUAGGCGGUCUGUUGCGUCCGCUGUGAAAACUCGGGGCUUAACCCCGAGCCUGCAGUGGAUACGGGGCAGACUAGAGGUAGGUAGGGGAGAAUGGAAUUCCCGGUGUAGCGGUGAAAUGCGUAGAUAUCGAGAGGAACACCUGCGGCGAAGGCGGGUUGCUGGGCUGAUACUGACGCUGAGGCGCGAAAAGCUAGGGGGAGCGAACAGGG